UGGAAGAGCUGUUCGAUUAGCCCACUCGUGAUUCCAUCACCGGCCCAUUACCGGCGAAAUCCUUCACCCCGGCCCGGGAACCAUCCCACGAGUCUAGACGUGUGGAACCGAUCCCCUGGCGCUAGCACACGGACGAAGCAACACACGGCGGCGGUGGCGGGGGACGACGACGUCAGCACGGCGAUCUUCUCAGCGAGCGACGGCUUUCUCUCCAGUAACCUUCUGGCUGGCUUUGCAUCUGUAGAUCACUUCUGCUAUUACUAUCUCAGGUUUUGAACUUAGAAGCCCUAGCAACUCGGUGGCAACUGGUAACAACAGCCUAGAAUUGUGGUUGUUGGAGAUGUUUGUAUUUUUAAUUCUUGAUCACGAUGAGGACAUGUAAAAAGUUGACAAAUUAGCAUUGUUGGUGGUAACUGGUAGCAGCAACUCUGUUUUAUUUUCAUGUAGUGUAUUUCCUAAAAAAGUUAUUUAAAUAUUGUGUAAAC